rnacentral:rRNA from 1 species
UAAAGAAUUUCGGUUAUCGAUGGGGAUGCGUUCCAUUAGUUAGUUGGCGGGGUAACGGCCCACCAAGACGACGAUGGAUAGGGGUUCUGAGAGGAAGGUCCCCCACAUUGGAACUGAGACACGGUCCAAACUCCUACGGGAGGCAGCAGUGAGGAAUAUUGGUCAAUGGACGAGAGUCUGAACCAGCCAAGUAGCGUGAAGGAUGACUGCCCUAUGGGUUGUAAACUUCUUUUAUAUGGGAAUAAAACAGGGUAUGCAUACCCCCUUGUAUGUACCAUAUGAAUAAGGAUCGGCUAACUCCGUGCCAGCAGCCGCGGUAAUACGGAGGAUCCGAGCGUUAUCCGGAUUUAUUGGGUUUAAAGGGAGCGUAGGUGGAUUGUUAAGUCAGUUGUGAAAGUUUGCGGCUCAACCGUAAAAUUGCAGUUGAAACUGGCAGUCUUGAGUACAGUAGAGGUGGGCGGAAUUCGUGGUGUAGCGGUGAAAUGCUUAGAUAUCACGAAGAACUCCGAUUGCGAAGGCAGCUCACUAGACUGCAACUGACACUGAUGCUCGAAAGUGUGGGUAUCAAACAGGAUUAGAUACCCUGGUAGUCCACACAGUAAACGAUGAAUACUCGCUGUUUGCGAUAUACAGUAA